UCUCUGAUAGUAUAGCGGUUAGUACACGCGCCUGUCAUCGAUCAUCGUGCAAAACAACCUCCGGGUACUGGGUCUGAUUCAGGGUGUCCGCGCGAAAUCUGGGUUCGACUCCCAGUCAGAGAG